rnacentral:rRNA from 1 species
GAUGAACGCUGGCGGCGUGCCUAAUACAUGCAAGUCGAGCGAACAGACGAGGUGCUUGCUCUUCUGCCGUUAGCGGCGGACGGGUGAGUACCACGUGGAUAACCUACCUAUAAGACUGGGAUAACUUCGGCAAACCGGAGCUAAUACCUGAUAAUUUAUCUAACCGCAUGGUUUAAUAGUUAAAGACGGUUUUGCUGUCACUUAUAUAUGGAUCCGCGCCGCAUUAGCUAUUUUGUAAGGUAACGUCUUACCAAGGCAACGAUGCGUAGCCGAGCUGAGAGGGUGAUCGGACACACUGGAACUGAGACACGGUACAGACUAGUACGGGAGGCAGCAGUAGGGAAACUUACGCAAUGCAAGAAAGCCUGACGGAGAAAAGCCGCGUGAGUGAUAGAGGUAUUGGGAUAGUAAAACUAUGUUAUUAGGGAAGAACAAAUGUGUAAGUAACUAUGCACGUCUUGAAGGUACCUAAUCAGAAAGCCACGGCUAACUACGUG